AUUGACCCCGUCAACUCGCAUAGGACAGGAAAGAUGAAACUGUUAUUCCUGUUGUUACCAGAGGGGCUUUUAAGGAAGAAGGAGAAAGGCAUGUGCAUGGAGGAAGGGUUUUCAUCGGACUUGGCUACUAUAGCAGAUAAGCAGAGCGCUUCGCUUCUUCCUCUACCUAUCCAACAAUAAUUCAAUUCAAAUGCAAAUGGGUUGUACGUUGUUGGGUGCUAAUCACUCUCUCAAUCCAAAACCCAGUCAAGUCUGCCUCUCUCUCAAACGACCUCCGCGUGCGUCUCCAAUACUGCUCCUCUCUCUCAAUACAAACUCUCUUCUUUUUAGUCUGGGUUGUUACAAAAUCCGACGACGAUAAUCAAAUAACUGCCUGCUCCCCACCCACUUUUUUUCAUCCUGCAAACUGCAACACUCUGCACGUGAAACUUUCAGGUUUGCUCAUAUGCUUGAUUUUGCAAAGAGGAUAUCUUGGUUUCAUAAUAUUUAUAUUGGGAUACUGGAUGGUAGUUUUAGGUUAAUCUAGAACUUAUUGCAUGGACUUCUUGGACUUCUUAUAAUAAGUUUCAAGUUAUUCAGUAGCAAGCAGCUUUGGAGGACAGUAAAAAUAAGGUCAACUUACGUUUUACAGCCUUGGAGGCUUGGAUUGGAGCAUUUGAAUUUGAGAUUGUUGAUAAAGCUUUUCUGAAGCAGCUCAAACUGUUCCAGAGUUAAUUUUUUCAACUUAGCUUUCAUUUUGUUAUUAAGAUUUGGUUGUAUUCAAUUUAAUUGUGAUUUGUAUUCUUAUGGAUUUUGUGGCAAUUUUGGUUGAAAGAACAGGGAAUGGUAAGAGACUUGGAAAGGGAGGAUUUCAGACAUGAAAGCUUUGGAAAUGUUAUCCCCUCAAGCAAUCAUGUGGAUCUGGGAUCCUAGCUGAUGGUCGGCUUGCUGAUUUGAUCUGAAGAGUUGCUACGUUUGGGAUGGUAUUAAUGAAAGCUCGACUUGCGCUAGAUGUGCUUUUAUUUUAUUGUAGAAGAAGUUGCUACCCCAGGCUGAGCUUGGCUUCCUCAACAUAGGAAGCCGCCCCUCAAGAAGAAAGAGCUCUGCAGGAAUUGGACAUCUUCGGGCAAUUCCAUGGGUGUUUGCAUGGACUCAAACCAGAUUUGUCUUCCAGCUUGGCUUGGAGUUAAACCCCUUGUUGAUCUUUUUGUGAGAGCAUCAAACACACCAGCCAUAAAGAUGUAUGAGAAGAGUCCCAUAUUGAAUCUGUCAUUCUUGCCAAGAUUAUAGGAGCUAUGCAGACGUACUUCCUAGUUCCAAUCUCUGCCUCAUGUUUUACGUUCUUUUUUUACCAAGCUUUGUGGUUGUGACUAGGGAAAUGUUUUGUUGGCAGGCCAUCCCUUGGAUGAGAAAUUAUAAUGGUGUAUGGGUGCUAUAUUUUUACAUUUAGACUCAUGAAGAUCUAUCAGUGAUUGUCAUCCUUUCCAAAGGUUUCUUUUAGGGUAUGUUUCUGUGGAAUCUGACAAAAGAAGAGAAUUGUUUUCAACA